GCAGAACACACUCUCGAAUCCGGUCUGUCGGCUCGAGUUACACCCACCUGUACUUUCUGCGUCUAAAGCGAAAUGAAGGUGCACUUGAAUUUCAAAGGAGAAAGAAAUGAACAUGAAAAAUGCAAUCAGAACGAAUAUAUGUAUUCUAUAUAAAAAGAAAGCUUUUCUCCCUUUCAAUAGUAUACUGUACACUGUACCUUUGUGCAGCAACUGUUGCAUCGUGAAUAGUUCGUUUCCCUCCUCCUUCCCUUUCUCAAAAAAAGGCUACGGUCUAUUUUUAAUUGCUUUCAGUUACCGAGCAUUAGGUGCAAAGUUUUACAAUAAAAUGCGUAAAAAUGACAUUUCUACUCACCAAUAAUAUUCGCGCGCGCGACCUGCCUCGUUAGGUUAAGUUUAGAGGUUAUGACAGAUUAUCUCGCUUCGUUUCGGAAUCAACGCGACCGUUUUUCUAUCGUGCGACUAGAGUGCAACGUAAGUUCGUGCUAAACACCCGUGAGAGAAACUGGGAAGAUUGGCAUGAGAUUGUCUUAGCGGUAGCAGGAGCCACGACGAAACUCGACGCAAUCCACGCCGGACCGACGAGAGGAAGGACGGCGGAAAAACCUGCCGGCGGCGGGAGAGGCAGCACAGCACUCGACGCAAAUCGGAACCGGGAGCAAACCACUAACCGAACUCACUUUUCGACUUGGCCCGCACAUAGAAUCGAGACGAUUCAGAUUCUUUAGACUCUCUCGCCUGUUAAAACCACUGUGUCUUUGCCUACUGCAGUUCUCGUUCUCUCUCUCUCUCUCUCGCGUUCGCUCGCUCUUUCUCUUUAUAGUUCUCCCUUUCGCGAUACUAUUUCCAGAUGCACAAUUUUGUAUUCGAUACGUCGUAGACGAGACACAGCUAUUCUCUUAUCACGCGGAUAAUUUCGACAACGACGCGCUCGACGGAGAGAGAGUUAGUUUCGCGACCCGAGGGAAUGCCACAAGCCACCAGGAAACACCAAGAAUGUCACAGCGCAUCGCUUUCCUCGCUUUACGGGCGACAAUGUACGCGAAUGAACGUGAGCGGUCUCCUUCCCUCCCGCGCGAGACACGGAGAAAAAUGAUUCUCAGCUAUGAGCACAAACACUUGAAUUUAACGAGUACCUAUUUAGUAGCCGCGUUUCGACUCGUUUUCCCAUCCCCCUUCCCGGAAUUGUCAUUGCUAAAACGAUUGAUAUCACAGCACCAUGUAUUGUUGCACGAUAAACUUCACUUAACGGGGACAAACUUAACGGAAGAUCGCGCGAAUUUUAUUGCAAAACUCGUCAAGAUCGAAAGCAGUCUAAUUGGUUUUCUUUUCGGCCACAUGCAUGCAUCUUAAUUUCGACGAGUUGCGACGCCGACUCGACGUGAACGUCCGAUAUCUUACUGGCCCUAAAUCCGUCUGACAAGCCAUUUGAGUUUUUUUCCUUUACUUAUUAAUUUCCUCGGUUAUCGCGGAUAGAAGCAUUCAUUGGAGACAUCGCGUACAUCACUGUAACAUUCAACCGAGCUCCCGAGAAUGGUCGAAUUUGAUAGGUGAAAAACGGUACCAAGAAAAUUGACACAUUUUGUAAUUUUUUUCUCUCUACAUAAACUGCAUCUAUUUCUUUUCCGUUCGAACACUAAAUAUACUUAACCACUGCACCUUCAAUUCGCAUUCAAGUGUGGUGGAGACGCCCCUUCUUCACUCCUCCAACGUAUCUGAAUAGAAAUAUAAGAAUAUAUCCUUCAGACGCGCGUUCAGGUGACUCUCCGCCAUACCGGAAUGCGGAGCACAAUCACUUUUAUUUUUUUUUUUACAUUUUCACUAGACACAUGUUCAGAGCUCAUUUUCGUUUUAUUAUUGCCACCAAACACUGUCCUUUAGAAGAAGAAAAAUCGGUCCUCACUAAAAAAGGGGAUAAACUGUUGUCGACAUUAUGAAAACACAGAUGCGAUAAACUUAAUUUUUUUGCGGUAAACAAAUUUUCUGUCUCUUCUUGGAUUUGCUAUUUUUUUUUCUUUCCUCACUGUCUUCACUCUUGGGCACAGUCUAAACUUGAAAAACUUUGUCAUAACUAGCAUUCACGGAUUUUACUUACUGCACAAUCACUUAAAUGU